AGGUGGUAGAUUGAGAAAUUGAUAAGCAGUCUUUUUAUCAGUUAGAGCCUUGAUUAAUAUGCUAGCUGUGCAAUACUAUCUAGUUGCAGUUAUAUGAGCCGUGUUUUGGCUUUACUUUCUUUUUAAUACCAUAUAUUUUAUGGUUGUCAAGUUGUAAUUUUCCCUUUUCCGUGUCUCUAAUGUGGUUCUGUAAGCUUGGAGGAUAUAAUGAUUUUCCCUUUCUGGU